CAGCGCCACAAGUGGUGAUCAUUUUUAUUGGGCCUAAAGCGUUCGUAGCCGGUUUGAUAAAUCUUCUGUGAAAUUGUCAGGCUUAACCUGACAGCUUGCAGAAGACGCUAUUAGACUAGGGACCGGGAGGAGUCAGAGGUAUUCUUGGGGGAGCGGUAAAAUGCUAUAAUCCUAAGAAGACUAACAGUGGCGAAGGCGUCUGACCAGAACGGAUCCGACGGUGAUUGGACGAAAGUCAGGGGAGCAAUCCGGAUUAGAUACCCGAGUAGUCC
rnacentral:rRNA from 1 species